CUUUCAGCAAUGGCAUGUCUUGGCUCGUGCAUCGAUGAAGGGACGCAGCGAAAUGCGAUACGCAUUGUGAAUUUGCAGAUUUCAGUGAACCAUCAGAUUUCUGAACGCA
rnacentral:rRNA from 1 species